CUGGUUGAGCCUGCUAGUAGUCAUAUGCUUUUUUCAAAGAUUAAGCCAUGCAGGUCUAAGUAUUAGCAAACUAUACAGUGAAACUAUGAAUGACUCAUUUAAUCAAUUAUCGUUUAUUUGAUACUACCUUUGCUACUUGGAUAACUGUGGUAAUUGUUAAGCUAAUACAUGCUAAAAAUCCUGACCCCUGGAAAUGAUGUAAUUAUUAGAUAAAAAGCCCACAGCUUCUGUCUCCAUGGUGAUUCAUGAUAACUCAACAAAUUGCAUGGCCUUGUGCUGGUGAUGGUUCAUUCCAAUUUCUGCCCUAUCAACCUUCGAGGGUAGGAUAGUGGCCUACCAUGGUUUCAACUGGUGAUGGGAAAUUACGGUUUUAUUCCAAAGAGGAAGUCUAAGAAACAGCUACCAGAUCCAAGGAAGUAAGCAGGCGUGCACAUUACCCAAUCCCGACCCACAGAGGUAGUCACAGUAUAUACUAAUACAGGGUUCCUUUGGGUCUUGUAAUUGGAAUAAGUUCAAUUUAAAUCCCUUAAUGAGGAACAAUUGGAGGGCAAGUCUCGUGCCAGUAGCGAUGUUAAUUCCAGCUCCAAUAUCGUAUAUU
rnacentral:ncRNA from 1 species